rnacentral:sRNA from 1 species
GCUGGGUGUGGUGGCACACGCCUGUAAUCCCAGCAACUCAGAAGGCUGAGGCAGGAAGAUUGUGAGUUCAAAGCCAGCCUCAGCAGGUUAGUGAGGCACUUAGCAACUCACUGAGAUCCUGUUUCUG